AUUGAACGCUGGCGGCAGGCCUAACACAUGCAAGUCGAACGAGUGGCGGACGGGAGAGUAAUGUCUGGGAAACUGCCUGAUGGAGGGGGAUAACUACUGGAAACGGUAGCUAAUACCGCAUACCAUCGGAUGUGCCCAGAUGGGAUUAGCUAGUAGGUGGGGUAAAGGCGCACCUAGGCGACGAUCCCUAGCUGGUCUGAGAGGAUGACCAGCCACACUGGAACUUAGACACGGUCCAGACUCCUACGGGAGGCAGCAGUGGGGAAUAUUGGACAAUGGGCGCAAGCCUGAUGCAGCCAUGCCGCGUGUAUGAAGAAGGCCUUCGGGUUGUAAAGUACUGUCAGCGGAGAGGCGUUACCCGCAGAAGAAGCACCGGCUAACUCCGUGCCAGCCGCCGCGGUAAUAC
rnacentral:rRNA from 1 species